UCAAAGCAAGUUAACUCAGCCCAAGAGUUCACGACACUGAAGUAUAAUCUACGUCAGAAAACUGAGAUGAUUGAUUUCAUAGUUGGAACAGCUGCAACAGCCAGGCUCCCCUGACUUUCCUAAGGUAUCUUCUGCCUAUGAAGAAUGACUGCACGACACAGGAAGGGGACCCUACGGAAACACACUGCUCUAACAGCCGAGCUAGCAGGGAGAACGAUCAGCUAGAGAUACCAGCACACAGCGACAAGGCCAAGCAAGUUCUGGUGGGGAGGAAAGGAAGAGUCCAUCAGAAAACAACGUAUGUUAAAACCACAGCAAUCAGAAGACGACGGUGAGAACAGACCUGACCAUACUGGAACUGCCUAUCUCUUUGGUUUCCCUGCAUCAGACUUGAAGAUCCUGAAACUUUAAAACUGGCCUUCACCACCACCCCAGCAGGAGAACCCUAUAGUGAGACAAAGAUUGCAAAGAAAAACAAUUCAGAGAACACAAAUCACUAGAGUGCUUGGAAGAGGAUAAAACUGACAGGUUUAAGGAUUACAAAUGCAUCAGUCAGUCAUUUCAGUUCUAUUCACACCAAGUCUUAUUCUGAAACACAUGUGGACUUGAUUAUUCCUGACAUCAUCAGGUCUAUGAAGAGCUGCAGCAACAGUGAGAGCUAGCAAGAACUCGGCCCCAUGUCUCCCUGCCUCUUCGCAGGGCUGCUCAGGGGCAAAGCUGCCACCUGGCCUGAAGGGGCUCACCAAGAUCUCCUUCACCUCCCACACUCUCAAACCAUCCUCCUCCGAUGGAGCCUUUCAAGGGGCAAAGAAAAGAUCAAACUGACAGUGGGAGCAAGCAUCUCCGCAUUUUUAUACCUGCUUUGUCCUGACUAUACAGGUGCAGCUGACAAUGAGAAGCAAAACAGACAGCAGAGUCUCCAGAUGCAGAGAUUUAACCCCCUUCCUGAAUUUGACGCUUUCUGUUGCCUACUGGAACUGGUCCCGAGAAGCACACAGUGCUUUGUGGACUCGCGAGUGCAUCUAUUCCUGGUAAAUUCUGCUCAUCUGUUGAAAAUUAAACUGUCCUGUUCAGACACUGCUCACUUGGCAACAGACUACUCUAUGUUUACUGUUUAUUGAUUUCUGUUAACUGGGACUACAGGGAAGAAGCAUUUCAGUUUCAAAGUCGUCCCAGAGGACACUGGCAGGUUACAAUCAUUUAUAUUGUAAAAAACCCUCAUGUUAAUUGACUCUAUAUUUACAUAUUACAAAUGCAUAUUUUAAUCUGUUUUACAUGAAUAAGUCCUCCACAAUGAAGAUUUCAUUUCCUUUUUUAAAACAACAUAACUACUUGCCUUAUUUGAAGAGGCAAAUCUCUUUUAAAUUGUUUUGACCUUUCCCUGUGUCCUUUCUUAAAGUCGAAGUUGCAUUUGCCUUCUCAGUUCAGGAAUUUCUUAUCUUGAAAGCAAAGGGAUGAACUCAACUUCAAACAGAAACCAUUUCAUUGUGCUCUUUCUCAUUUGGCAAGUCACCCUAUCAGACAAUAUUUGAAACAGCCAAAUUCUUGACUAGCUCAACAAAAUUUUUUGUUCAGAACACAUGACAGACUGAGAAUAGACCAGUUUUAGCAACAGACUGGAAAAGUUCUCUGGUAAAAAAAAAAAAAAAAAAAAAAAAAAUCAAAAGAGGCAGAGAUAUGCUAGACUAAUAAAUAAGAGGGUCAGGACAUUAAUCUUGCACAGAGCAGAACCAACUGAACAUGAGAGCUCCUACAGCUUGGCAGAGGCACCCUUGGCUUUUGAACGUUCUACCUAUUGCUUUUUAAUGUUUUGUCCUCAACCUUGAAAAAGUCAUCCUCCUCUUGUGCAAAUGCGAAUUGAAAGAAAACCUGCAUUAAGAUAAAACACUUUAUCCAGCUCUAAUUUUUUUCAUCAGAUCAAGCCUCAGCCAAUACAAGUCAGAUGCACGAAUAACAAAAAAAGUCAAUUUAUUCAGAGUCCCUGACCUCAAUACUUCAUUUUCAUGAGACGAAAAUUAUACUUUUAGAACUCCCUCUUCCUCUUCAAUAUUGAAAACUUAAGAAACAAAGCACUAUACAUCUGUUCAGAUCAUAAUUUUACAUCAGGAAAUAGUAAUAAUUCUUUUGCAAUUCUUGCUCUUGGGAAAUAAUUUACUGUGAUCAAAUAUACAUAUGCUGUAACAUGACAAACUUAAGUGUUUCCAAAUUUGGUUAUAGAAGGCAAUA